AAUCCAUGAUGCGGACAUUAGCUUUGAAGAUCCUUGAAUCUCUCCUAGGCUUCGUACAACGUCUCGUCUUCCUUCAUUCAAAAAUUGGAUAUUUCUUUUCUCAGCCU
rfam:Jatropha curcas cultivar GZQX0401 scaffold17_17, whole genome shotgun sequence.